rnacentral:lncRNA from 10 species
CGUGCUUACAGAUUAGUUAUGUAUAAAGUAUAAAGACAGACUGCCUGGACUCAAUGUGAUAAAUCUCUGAAUAUGAGAGGAAAAAAAUUGUGUACAAAACAGCAAACGUAAGUUGUGGGGAGUCUUGUCUAAUGGGACCAGCAAAUGUUUCAGCCAAGACAUUGAUCAUACCAAGCCUUGAUAACAAAUGCUGGAUCUUAAUGGGUCUUCCCUCCGGGAAAAACUAAUUCAAUCAGAGGAAAUAAAAAUGGAUCACACUUGCUUCUUCUCUCAAUUUUACAGUGUUAACUGGCAGCUCCAGGGGUGAGCCCAAAAUAAUUCCACACACAGCUGUAACAAAGUAGACAGCACCAUGUAACAAUUGGGUCUCCAUUUCUUAUCACUAUGGACAUGGACAUCUUAGACCACAGUGCUAUAGGCAUUUGCUCCCUAAACUCACUGCUGAUGCUCGGAACAGUUUUUGUUGAGGCGACUGCAAACAUGGCGGAAGCAGCACAGCGGACCGGUCGGUGAUUAACGGUGUGAGGCACAGUCCAAUUCCUUCAUUAACAUUUGGCGUUCCAAGGCAGAGGUUUCAAAGUGUUUAUAGUCAAAGAAAUCCUUCUUCAAACAAAGUCUAAUGCAGAAACCCAGUACAUCAAACAGAAGAGUGAAGGCGCCCUGUUUGAGGGGAUCAUGGUGGAAAAGAUGGGGAUGGGAUGGAGGGGUGGGGAGCGCUACUUAAAAUGGGUUGCUGCCCUAGGGGCACCUCGGCAGCCCCUGAGAUUCUAAGGAGCAGUUUAAGAACCUCCAGUGGGAGGGGUUUAUCACAUUCUGUGCACGAUGCUUUGGAAUGUUAACCAAAAAUAUCACAAAUUUAUAAAUUGUGAGGAGAGGAGAUUUUAUUUCUUGUAAAGGGUUACAGCCUGCAAGGUGGCCAUCCUGCAGGCUCAGAAGUGUGCCUCUGGCCAAGACCGGAGUCAGGCACUUCGAAGGAGGAGGGGCUGGGACAGAAGCUUCAUGCUGGACAGGGUGGCCAAACAUACGUAUUCAACAGGUUACAGGAAGAACUACGAAUAUUCAUGAAGGUAGUCCCGACACAUGCAUAUUGAACAAACAUGCAUGUAACAUACAACCCAGGUUCACUUUGGGGUGGAGAUUUAACAUUUAAAUGUAUUAAAAUUAGGCCCCAUACCUCAAAAGGUCUUUUCAGGACAUGAAGGCGGAUGAAUGUACUUUCUGCAAACCAGCCAGAACCAGUCCAUGGCCGGUGGUCUCUUAUCAGGAGAAAGUUACUGGAGUCAGUCUCCCAUCCAAUCAAAGCUGUAGUUACGGCUGGUGCAACAGGGGUCAGUUACUCAGCGUCCGUGAGCUGGGUUACCGAGGAGACCUCAAAUCAGGGUGGAGAAGAAUGAAGAACAUAGCAGACAGAUGAAGUAGGCCUGGUGGUGCUCUGAGCAGAACAAAUCCUAAGGCCAGGCCGAUGCUCAGCAUAUUUCAGAGGAAGCUGGCACCAGGGAUGAGGGAAUCUGCCCAAGCAUGAGUCACCUGGAAUAUUAAACCAGAACCAACACACAAAUGAUCUGUGCAAAGAGGCAGCACCAUUGAAGUGUGUUUGACAGACAGAACUACUGUUUUGAAUCAACCCUCUGAGAUGUCUAAAUCAGCCUGUCAGACUUUGCUCCCUCUAUCACGUUUCCCAAGAAGAGGAUCAGAGAUAAAGAGAAAUAUGGAAAUUUGGAGUAAAAGAAUACUUUCACCACCUUGGACAUUGUCUCCUGCCUUUCUGGACAUCCACACAGCCCUGUGAUAUGCCUUGGAGCUGAGUUUUACCUCUUUGUGUGAUAUUUCUUUCCUGGGAAAGGCUCACACCACCUUGGAGCUUUGCAAUUUCGGCUUGUAGGUCCUCACUUAUAAAUCCAUUCACUCCCAGAGUCUACAUUGAAAUGAUUUCUUUUGCUGUGUCUCCACUGCUGGCUGUAGCCCCUUGAAGGAGGGAGCUGGCUUUACCAUGCCUGGCCUUGCAUAAAGUGCAACCUGAUGCUUAAUACAUACUGACUAGGUAAGCACAACCACUUCCAGAGCUAAUUCCAGCCUUUUCUCCUGCUCCCUGAUAACUCUACCUUCAUACCAGGACAGCAUUCUCAGAAAUCAUUUUAACCACGAAGACUUUUGUUCAAAUGAAACAGAAUAAGUAUAAACUAGAAAAAGUGCAAAUAUAUAGACAACUGUUAUUUUUUCUAAGUAAUCACCCAAACCCUCACCUCAUCUAUUAACCAAAAACUCCAGUGUGUUUCAUAUGAAGCCUCCCUUCCGAAAGAAAAUAAUCACAAACAACAACAACAACAACAACAACAACAACAUAUCUUCUAGGACCCCAGGGGUGACUGCCCAGAGUCUCAGCCUGGCUACCUGCUGGGCCCCUGCAUGGCUGCUGCAGCUGGACUUUGGAGAGCACAGUGGACCUUCCCCACUGCUGCCAGGAGCCUUCCCAGGGAUGAAUUCCUCCUCUGACGAACAAGGAUUUUGAGACAAGAGAGAUCCCCUUGGCCAAGGAUGCCCCAACCAGGGCUCACAAGGCCGCUGUUCUGAGUGUUCCACUUGGUUCCCAACCCCAGCUGGCCCCAACAGGCUUUGGAUGAAGAGAAGUGGUUGGAAGGAGGGAAGUGGAGCAUCAUGAAUGGCUGGACAAAUGAACACAGCACCUGCCAUGUGCCAGCCCUCAGAUUGCUGCAGAGGGCACCUGAAGCAUGAUUUUGCCUUACCUUAAAAUGUCACCUGUAACAGAUCUACGAGUCCUCUGCCUUAUCCUCUCGGUCCCAGGCCCACAAAGACUCUCCAUAGCCCCUGCUGCGAGGGCUGCCUCGAGGUGCACACUCAUGGCCAAGGACUGACAGUUAUGAGGGCAUAAACCCUGCAGCUUUCCUGCCCCCUGAUCAGACACCUGUGGGCAUAAGCCUCACUGUCCAGAGCUCCCCGUGGGAUUGAGUGGGCAUAACCCUGCCUGGGUCUUUGUUGAUAUUGCAGCUGGUUGGGCUUUCAUCCCUCCUCACUCCCCAACAGUGGGGUUUUCUUGUCAAUGCUCUCUAAGAAACUCCUUUGAGAUGUCGCCUCAGGGUCCACUUCUGAGGAAACCCAGACUAAGACAGUGCUAUUUUGAUUCCUCAUAAAUAUUUUCAAUCCUCCAAUUUUGAUUCAUGAAACUCAGAAAAUGAAUCUUAAGUAAAUGUCUGCUAUUGUCACAUCCCAUGUGAUCUCUAGUUUUACUUUCUUAAGGAUUUUCAUGGAAACCCUGCCUCGAGGCAGAAUUACAAGACGAGUGAUAUUGAAAAGGAGACAAUCUAUUAUCCACAUGACUGUUUUAACCAAAUUACCUUCUAAGUUGUGACACAGGGUCCCUCAAAAUUUGAGAAAGAAUUUGAGUUCUUGUCAUCUGUAUUAGUUCACCGAGAAUGAAUCCUCAAAUGAUAAAUGAAGGGGUAAGAAGAUGUGUACAAAUGCAAGGCUGCCCUCUGAGCCCCACAGGGUGGUGUCUGCCCUGUACCAAGAGACCCCCUCACCAGGGCCUGCCUCUGCAGCCCCUGUGAUCACCUAGCAAAUCCACCAUCCCCCACCACAGACUGUCUUUAUUAGAUAGAAGUGAAGGCGCAGCAGAGGGGAGCAGGUCUUUCUCCAGCCACUGCACGCAUAUGUGAUCUUUGACCUCAUCCCCUGUGCCACCCUGAAGCUCAAGAGAGGCCCAGAUGCCAUUGAUUUUCAUGUGCUGAUGUCGCUUUGGUACAACAGUGCCCUCGAUAUAUACAAUUCAUGAUUUAAAAAAAAAAUCAAGGCUAAAUUUAUAAGAUGAAUUUGCCUAACUCUCUGGUUUUUUAAAGCAUAUUACAGUACUUUUAUUGUUGCCAGGAAAGCUGUUGACUUAGGCUUCCUGGUGAUGCCAUGGAGGUGGGUGAGUUCGUCCAGAGAAGGUAAAAGCUAUAAGAGUUCAUUCUUUUGAGCUUUUAUACUUAACGCUCUGUGAUGUAAAAUUUGUAGCAAAUUCCCUGUACGUGUUUUUCUUCAGAGUACAUGUGACACAUUUCCUGAUACCUGCUAAAAGUUGAUUUUUAACAGAGUAAAACAUUUUGGAAGAAGGUAGCAUGGAGUGUCGUGUAAAACUGCACUCUAGACAUCCACACCUGCUGCUCUGAGGUGUGUAUUCUAUUUGAUUAUUGAAGUAGGGUGGAGGUGUUUGUUAAAUAUUUGGAGACAUGUGAUGCUUAGGAUGUGUUUGUUUUGUUUUUACAUAUAUCCCUGUUUUACAAGGCAAAAAGAUUUUUUAGUAUCUCCAAAUUAUUGUUUUUCUCCAUUCUCUUCACCCAAUUUCUUUUUCCACUACUUUUUUUCAUUUAAUCCUGCCCGUAAUCUGAUAUACGGACCACCAAAUCAUCUCCAUUGCAAAUCACCUGAGCUCGCUGACUUUCCAGCCAACAUAUGGACAGCCACUUGCCCCUUUUACCCCCCACACACAUGGUGACGGGGCCAUUGUUUUAUGGCCCAGUUCUGGAGGACAUUUCCUCAGUCAUCAUUCCACAGGCUUUCAACGGGUCUCUGAGAAAUAUGCUCAUCUUCUGGAAGGAUAAUUUUUUUUUCUCUUGUGAUAGCCUGAACAUCAGUCUUUGGAUAGUAAUUGUUGUGAUUUUUAUGAUUAACAUAUCUGGCAGCUCAUCCCUUUAUUCACUUGCUUAUUAUUCAUGCAACAGGCCUUUAUGAGUUUGCUGCAUAUCAUUAUUAGACUUUACAAAUGGCUGCCAAAAAUGACCAGAAAUCUUGGGGGAUGACAGCACCAAAUAGCUCAUAGGAAAAGAAUAGGAAGUGUGAAUUGAUCACCUUCCUAACACUUAGGGGUAAACCAGAGAGUUAGCCAAAGAAAAGAAGAAAUGAAGAUAAACCUAGAAUCGCAUCCCUCUUCAGAUUUGAUAUACAAGAGACCCUCUUAGCCCAUCUCCACCCAACAGGCCAGCUGGACCAAUCAUCCCUCAUGAUUUAUUGCCCUGGAAAACACACAGACUCAGGC